AUUGAACGCUGGCGGCAUGCCUUACACAUGCAAGUCGAACGGCAGCACGGGAGCAAUCCUGGUGGCGAGUGGCGAACGGGUGAGUAAUAUAUCGGAACGUGCCCAGUCGUGGGGAUAACGUAGCGAAAGCUACGCUAAUACCGCAUACGAUCUAUGGAUGAAAGCGGGGGGAUCGCAAGACCUCGCGCGAUUGGAGCGGCCGAUAUCAGAUUAGGUAGUUGGUGAGGUAAAGGCUCACCAAGCCGACGAUCUGUAGCUGGUCUGAGAGGACGACCAGCCACACUGGGACUGAGACACGGCCCAGACUCCUACGGGAGGCAGCAGUGGGGAAUUUUGGACAAUGGCGCAAGCCUGAUCCAGCAAUGCCGCGUGCAGGAUGAAGG
rnacentral:rRNA from 1 species